rnacentral:rRNA from 1 species
AUAGAACGCUGGCGGCGUGCCUAACACAUGCAAGUCGAACGGGGGUUACACGAGUAGCAAUACUUGUGCAACCUAGUGGCGGACGGGUGAGUAACGCGUGAGCAACCUACCUUCCAGAGGGGGAUAACACAGGGAAACCUGUGCUAAUACCGCAUAAAGUACAGUGGGGGCAUCCCUGCAGUACCAAAGGAGCAAUCCGCUGGGAGAUGGGCUCGCGUCCGAUUAGGUAGUUGGUGGGGUAACGGCUCACCAAGCCGACGAUCGGUAGCCGGACUGAGAGGUUGGCCGGCCACAUUGGGACUGAGACACGGCCCAGACUCCUACGGGAGGCAGCAGUGGGGAAUAUUGGGCAAUGGGCGGAAGCCUGACCCAGCGACGCCGCGUGAGGGAAGACGGCCUUCGGGUUGUAAACCUCAGUUAUACGGGACGAAGGAAGUGACGGUACCGUAAGAGAAAGCCACGGCUAACUACGUG